rnacentral:pre_miRNA from 1 species
UUGAAGGGUUUGAAGACUACCACUUGCAUACUUGGAGGAUUUGAAGACUUCAACUUGCAUACCUUGUUGAAUUUGGAAACUUCAAGU